GCGCUCGCUUCGGCAGCACAUAUACUAAAAUUGGACGAUAUAGAGGAAAUAGCAUGGCCCUGUGCAAGGAUGACACGCAAAUUUGUGAAGCGUUCUGUAUUUAA
ensembl:snRNA U6 U6 spliceosomal RNA